UGAUCACGGAGGUCGGUCCCAUCGUUGUUAUUGAUCACGGAGGUCGGUCCCAUCGCCGUUAUUGAUCACGGAGGUCGGUCCCAUCGUUGUUAUUGAUCACGGAGGUCGGUCCCAUCGUUGUUAUUGAUCACGGAGGUCGGUCCCAUCGCCGUUAUUGAUCACGGAGGUCGGUCCCAUCGUUGUUAUUGAUCACGGAGGUCGGUCCCAUCGCGUUAUUGAUCACGGAGGUCGGUCCCAUCGCCGUUAUUGAUCACGGAGGUCGGUCCCAUCGCGUUAUUGAUCACGGAGGUCGGUCCCAUCGUUGUUAUUGAUCACGGAGGUCGGUCCCAUCGCGUUAUUGAUCACGGAGGUCGGUCCCAUCGUUGUUAUUGAUCACGGAGGUCGGUCCCAUCGUUGUUAUUGAUCACGGAGGUCGGUCCCAUCGUUGUUAUUGAUCACGGAGGUCGGUCCCAUCGUUGUUAUUGAUCACGGAGGUCGGUCCCAUCGCCGUUAUUGAUCACGGAGGUCGGUCCCAUCGUUGUUAUUGAUCACGGAGGUCGGUCCCAUCGUUGUUAUUGAUCACGGAGGUCGGUCCCAUCGCCGUUACUGAUCACGGAGGUCGGUCCCAUCGCCGUUAUUGAUCACGGAGGUCGGUCCCAUCGCGUUAUUGAUCACGGAGGUCGGUCCAUCGCGUUAUUGAUCACGGAGGUCGGUCCCAUCGUUGUUAUUGAUCACGGAGGUCGGUCCCAUCGCGUUAUUGAUCACGGAGGUCGGUCCAUCGCGUUAUUGAUCACGGAGGUCGGUCCCAUCGCGUUAUUGAUCACGGAGGUCGGUCCCAUCGUUGUUAUUGAUCACGGAGGUCGGUCCCAUCGCGUUAUUGAUCACGGAGGUCGGUCCAUCGCGUUAUUGAUCACGGAGG